UUUUGUCCCAGGCUUCUAGGCUUCGCCUUUUAGCCUUUUGAAAUAUAUAAGGUAGAACAUGAUCUACCUUCCAUUUCCCAAAAAAAAAAAUGAACCCUGCAUGUGUGCCACACGUCCGUACUCGUGGACGCACUAUGCAGCUUUUUUUUCUGGGCCGGCCUUAUCUUCAUCUCAUGGACGCACUCGUGGCUUCAGUCUAUCCUCGUUUCUUUUCCCCUCCUCCACGAGUUCAUCUCCAACCUCUGUCAACAUCCCCCUGCCUCCUCCAACCGUGCCGGGAGAGGCGCUCCUCUGCCCCGAGCCAUCUUAAAAGGACCCCGCACCAUCGCACCUCACCUUGGAGCUCGCCGCCUCGGGUCACCUCUCCGUCUUGAUCUGUCCUCCACUGCCGGAUCCGCCGCCUCAACCUCUCCGCCUCAAUCCGUCCGCCGCCGCCGGAUCCCGGAAGCAGCCGGAUCCGCCGCCGCCUGCCUCACCUGCGUUCGUCCGCAGCGUGGGCCACGCAGCUGCCUCGGCCCCCCUGCCUCGUCCAACCGCGCCAGGAGAGGAGUCCUCUGCCCCGCCACCGGAUCGACCCCGGAGCAGCCGGAUUCGACGUCUACUGCCUCACCUGCGUUCGUCUGCUGCGUGGGCGCAGCUGCUCGUGAACCGUCGUCCAUCUCUCUGACCUGCUGUGUAGGUCACCUGCGUCGCUGGUGUCGCAGGUCUUCGGGCGGCAUUGAUGCUUCGAUUGGCAGCUGAUGUCUCACUUUCUGAUUCCUUAUUCGCUGUUAUCACCAGCUGGGUCUUUGCGUCUCUCUCCUCCCGAGUAUUGCAGCCCUUCUCUCAUUUAGCAGGUCAUGAUUUUGACUCCCCUCAACCGAGCUGAUUUUCUGUGCGUGCGGACCGCGGGUUCAAUAUUAGAAAGUGCAGGGUCCUUUUUAUGAGAACAAAGCGUUUUUUCAAAGUGUGACUUAAACAGGGACUGCGGGUUGAUUUCAAAGAAACAGAGGGGCGUUUUCGCAAAAACACCGACGACGUACGGGCAGAAGCACUCCGUGCUUUAUUAGUAGGGAAAGAAAUGAAAAUGAUGGAUCUUGGUUUUCUAGUUGUUGAUAGUGAUGCUAUAAGAAAAUCUUCUAUCCCUAAAUAGAGUUAUAAUCCACUUGACUAUUUUUCUAGACAUGCAAUCUUGCCACGUAAGUAAGUCAUGCAUGCAAGUCAUAAAUUAUACUCCUUCCUUCCAUCUAUAUAGGCCCUAAUGCGUUUUUUAAGACUGCCUUUAACUAUUGAUAAGAUUAAUAAUACAUGAGAUGUAUAAUGUGAAAAUUAUAUCAUUUGAAGCUCC